GAUAAACGCUGGCGGCGUGCUUCAGGCAUGCAAGUCGAACGGACACUACGGUGUCAGUGGUGGACGGGUGAGUAACACGUAAGCAACCUGCCCGGAAGUGGGGAAUAACCCGCCGAAAGGUGAGCUAAUUCCGCAUGUGAUGGUCCUUCCCUGGAGGGAUCAUUAAAGGCGAAAGUCGCUUCUGGAGGGGCUUGCGGCCGAUUAGCUAGUUGGUGGGGUAAUGGCCUACCAAGGCGACGAUCGGUAGCUGGUCUGAGAGGACGGUCAGCCACACGGGGACUGAGAUACGGCCCCGACACCUACGGGUGGCAG
rnacentral:rRNA from 1 species